UCCCAGUGGCUCAGCUGGUAAAGAAUCUGCCUGCAAUGCAGGAGACCUAGGUUAAACUCCUGGGUUGGGAA
rnacentral:tRNA from 1 species